rnacentral:rRNA from 1 species
UACGUAGGUGGCAAGCGUUGUCCGGAAUUACUGGGUGUAAAGGGCGUGUAGGCGGGAAGGCAAGUCAGAUGUGAAAUCCCAUGGCUUAACUGUGGAGCUGCAUCUGAAACUGUUUUUCUUGAGUGUCGGAGAGGAAAGUGGAAUUCCCAGUGUAGCGGUGAAAUGCGUAGAGAUUGGGAGGAACACCAGUGGCGAAGGCGGCUUUCUGGACGAUAACUGACGCUGAGGCGCGAAAGCGUGGGGAGCAAACAGG